CUGUGCUUUAGUAGGUGCUUGAGAUGACACUGGCCUCAAUGCAAUCAAGAUGUUAAACUAAAGAACCAAUGAGACCAUGAGAAAAGCAGGUUUCUGAAAAGCAGGUUUUAGUUGUGAGGGAAAAAUGCUAAUUACAAGACAGCCAAAUAUUCAAUAAAAACACCAAAGGUGCAAUCUUCAGUAUGAUAUUCUCUAUCUUAACAGAAGGAAGGGGUUAAAAGGUAUGUGCAUAGGCCAAAACUCAAACAAUUCAAGGAUUUUACAGUCAAUCACAGUGACUCAGGCCUAUAAAUCUCAGCUACCUAGAAGGUGGUGAUAGAAGGAUCAUUGUUCAAAGCCAGAUUGGACAAAAAGUUCAUGAAAUCUUGCAUGUUGACAUCCCAACUACAUGUGAAAUAUAAGUAAUAGGAUCACAGUCCAGGCCAACCUGGCAUAAACAGGGCUGGAGGCAUAACUCAGGGGCAAAGUGUAUGCCCACUACUGGGGUUGGAGGCAUGGUUUAGUUGAUAAGAGCACUACCAAUGAGCAAAAGCAUCAGGUACCAAGUUCAAGUCUCGGUCUCUGCCCUAAAAAUAAAAAUAAAACCCAGUACUGUGUCUCCCUUCUUAUGCACCCACCCCAGAAAACUCUAGUAAGUGACAAUGUAAGCUACAGAGUUUAGAAUCAAAUGUGUGUUUUUCAUUGAAUUUGAAAUGCAGAAAAACAGUAAUGUGGACAUAGGAAUGGAUAAAAGUACUAAACUUAAGAAAAUGCUAAACAUAGACCCAAGAAGGUUAGUAGGUGAGUAGGUAUGUAUGCACAGUUCUUCCUGGGAGAAUUUUCAUAAUAAAAUACUGGUAGCUAGAAAAUACAAUUCAAAUACAAUUUAUGGUACUGGGAAUCUAUCAUGCUAUUCUUUUCUAUUAGACAUAGUGUUGUACAGGUUAGUGGAUUCAAGGCUGGGUUCAAAGUGUAGUAAGUAACUCCACUUGCUAGCUAUGCAGCCUUAUACAGGAAAUGGACUAUACAACCUGGAGGGGCAUUGGCACUGUGGGUAGG